rnacentral:rRNA from 1 species
GACGAACGCUGGCGGCGUGCCUAAUACAUGCAAGUAGAACGCUGAAGGAGGAGCUUGCUUCUCUGGAUGAGUUGCGAACGGGUGAGUAACGCGUAGGUAACCUGCCUGGUAGCGGGGGAUAACUAUUGGAAACGAUAGCUAAUACCGCAUAAGAGUAGAUGUUGCAUGACAUUUGCUUAAAAGGUGCAAUUGCAUCACUACCAGAUGGACCUGCGUUGUAUUAGCUAGUUGGUGGGGUAACGGCUCACCAAGGCGACGAUACAUAGCCGACCUGAGAGGGGGGUCGGCCACACUGGGACUGAGACACGGCCCAGACUCCUACGGGAGGCAGCAGUAGGGAAUCGUCGGCAAUGGACGGAAGUCUGACCGAGCAACGCCGCGUGAGUGAAGAAGGGUUUCGGAUCGUAAAGCUCUGUUGUAAGAGAAGAACGAGUGUGAGAGUGGAAAGUUCACACUGUGACGGUAUCUGACCAGAAAGGGACGGCUAACUACGUG